UGCCCUAUGGCUCAGUUGGUUAGCGCGUGGAGCUGUUACGAUCAUCCGAACACUCCGAGGUCCACGGUUCGAGUCCGUGUGGGGCAG
rnacentral:tRNA from 2 species